ACAACAACAUGCAUGUCAAAUGCAAUUCUCAUUUCAUUAGUUGGGGACUGAACUUUGGGAUUACGUCUAAUGCUCAGGAAAAGAUCAGAACAGCCUGAAGAGGAACAAGAGACUUGGCUCUCACGGAAUGUAAAAUUUUUGCUUCCUUCUGUGCUGUAAUCCUGGGAACACCAAUGUCUUUAUUAGGAAACUCUACCUCAGAUUGCUAUGCUUGGAACUCUGUUUCCUGGGCAUUGCUUGCAGUAGCCUUCAUAGCUAUUCUUGCU